GACGUAGGGCGCGAGCGUUGUCCGGAUUUAUUGGGCGUAAAGAGCUCGUAGGCGGCUUGUCGCGUCGACCGUGAAAACUUGGGGCUCAACCCUAAGCCUGCGGUCGAUACGGGCAGGCUCGAGUUCGGUAGGGGAGACUGGAAUUCCUGGUGUAGCGGUGAAAUGCGCAGAUAUCAGGAGGAACACCGAUGGCGAAGGCAGGUCUCUGGGCAUUAACUGACGCUGAGGAGCGAAAGCAUGGGGAGCGAACAGG
rnacentral:rRNA from 1 species